AUGGCAAAGUUAAUAAGGGCGCACGGUGGAUGCCUUGGCACUAAGAGCCGAUGAAGGACGUGACUAACGACGAUAUUCUAGGGGGAGCAGUAAGUACGCAUUGAUCCCUAGGUCUCCGAAUGGG
rnacentral:rRNA from 1 species